GUGGAAAGUGGCGGACGGGUGAGGUAAUACAUAGGAAAUCUGCCCUAGAAGGGGAUAACAGUCGAAACGAUUGCUAAUACCCUAUAUGAGCUUGGUUGCAAUACCAAUCUUGAAAACUCCGGUGCCUAAGGAUGAGCCUGUGCCUGAUUAGCUUGUUGGUGGUGUAAUGGACCACCAAGGCGACGAUCAGUAGCUGGUUUGAGAGGAUGAUCAGCCACAAUGGAACUGAGACACGGUCCAUACUCCUACGGGAGGCAGCAGUAGGGAAUUUUGGGCAAUGGGCGAAAGCCUGACCCAGCAAAACCGCCGCGUGUGUGAUGAAGCCCCUAGGGGUGUAAAACACUGUCAGUAGGGAAGAAUCAAUGACUGUACCUACAGAGGAAGCACCGGCUAACUCCGUGCCAGCAGCUGC
rnacentral:rRNA from 1 species